rnacentral:rRNA from 1 species
GACGUGACUUCAGAGUUUGAUCCUGGCUCAGGAUUAACGCUGGCGGCGUGCAUAACACAUUCAAGUCGAACGGACUAAGGGGCUUCGGUCCUUUAGUUAGUGGCGGACGGGUGAGUAACGCGUGAGCAAUCUACCUUCCAGUACGGGAUAACAACCGGAAACAGUUGCUAAUACCGUAUGAAAUGGCAAUCUCGCAUGAGGUAACCAUCAAAGGUUUACUGCUGGAAGAUGAGCUUGCGUCCGAUUAGAUAGUUGGCGGGGUAACGGCCCACCAAGUCGACGAUCGGUAGCCGGACUGAGAGGUUGAACGGCCACAUUGGAACUGAGAUACGGUCCAG